GACGAACGCUGGCGGCGUGCUUAAUACAUGCAAGUCAACUGAACUUGAGGUAGCAAUAUCACAAGAGAGGUGGCGCACGGGUGAGUAACACGUAGGUAAUCUGCCUUUAGGUCUGACAUAAUUCCGCGAAAGCGGGACUAAUAUCAGAUGAUGCAGCGGCUCGACAUCGAGACAGUUGUUAAACCUUCGGGGCCUAAAGAUGAGCCUGCGUCNGAUUAGGUAGUUGGCGGAGUAAAAGCCCACCAAGCCUGCGAUCAGUAGCUGGUCUGAGAGGAUGAUCAGCCACACUGGAACUGAGACACGGUCCA
rnacentral:rRNA from 1 species